CUGCGACCCCAGGUCAUGCGGGAUUACCCGCUGAAUUUAA
rnacentral:rRNA from 1 species